GAGACUGGGUGCUUCGGCGCCCGACCUCCAACCCCUUGUCUACCUUACCACUGUUGCCUCGGCUCUCAGGGAGCAAUCCCGGCGCCGGUGGCCUCUGUAAAAACCCUUUUUUAAACCAAGUACUCUGAGAAAUUAUUAAAUAACUUCAAAACUUUCAACAACGGAUCUCUUGGUUCU
rnacentral:misc_RNA from 1 species